ACCUCAGCUAGAACCAAAAAAAAUGGCGCCCGACCACGAGGCGGCGCCAAGAUGGCGGCCGCGAGCUGAGCUAUCGUCGGGGCCCCUCGGGACGGAAGGGAGGGCUCCUCCGGCU